rnacentral:siRNA from 1 species
UGCAAUACUGAUCUGCUUGAAG